GACGAACGCUGGCGGCGCGCUUAACACAUGCCAGUCGAGCGAUGAAAUUUCGACAGAUCCCUUCGGGGUGAAGCUGAAAUGGAUUAGCGGCGGACUGGUGAGUAACACGUGAGUAACCUGCCUUUUACAUUGGGAUAGCCUCGGUAAACUGGGAUUAAUACCAAAUAACACUACCUGAUCACAUGAUCAAUUAGUCAAAGAAAUUCGGUCAAAGAUGGACUCGCGCCUGAUUAGCUAGUUGGUGAGGUAACGGCCCACCAAGGCGACGAUCAGUAGCCGGCAUGAGAGGGUGAUCGGACACACUGGAACUGAGACACGGUACAAACUCCUACGGGAGGAAGCAGUGGGGAAUAUUGCACAAUGGGGGAAACGAUGAUGCAGCGACGACGCGUGAGCGAAGAAGGCAUUCGGGUCGUAAAGCUCUUUUAUGAGGGAAGAUAAUGACGGUACCUAAAGAAAAAGCCACGGCUAACUACGUG
rnacentral:rRNA from 1 species